AAGUCAAGUCUUUAUGGUCUUUAUAAAUUGGGCUACACACGUGUUACAAAAGUUAAAACAAUAAGUUGUGAAUUUGAAAAAAUGAACAAACCUUUAAAAAUAACUUUAAUUCGGAUUAUUAUUUGAAAUUCAAUAAUAUGAAGUCGGAAUCGUUAGUAAUCGUAAAUCAUUAUGUUACGGUGAACCACCUUGCAUUCUGCACAAACCGCCCAUCACGCUCGAAAAUGAAUGUAUUGUUAGAAGUGGGUAUAAGGUUUAUAAAUAUUAAAAUAAAUAACCAAACUACCGCACCUGCGGUUGGUAUUUUUAAUUAAUUAACUAUAUUUACAAUAGUGGUGCAAUCAAUUUGAGUGAAGUUGAAACAAGGUACUGGUAGGGGAACCUGUUGGUGGA
rnacentral:rRNA from 1 species